rnacentral:rRNA from 1 species
AUUGAACGCUGGCGGCAUGCCUUACACAUGCAAGUCGAACGGCAGCGGGGGAGAAGCUUGCUUUUCCUGCCGGCGAGUGGCGAACGGGUGAGUAAUACAUCGGAACGUGCCCGGUAGUGGGGGAUAACUAGUCGAAAGAUUAGCUAAUACUGCAUACGACCUGAGGGUGAAAGUGGGGGACCGCAAGGCCUCAUGCUAUAGUAGCGGCCGAUGUCUGAUUAGCUAGUUGGUGGGGUAAAGGCCUACCAAGGCGACGAUCAGUAGCUGGUCUGAGAGGACGAUCAGCCACACUGGGACUGAGACACGGCCCAGACUCCUACGGGAGGCAGCAGUGGGGAAUUUUUGACAAUGGGCGAAAGCCUGAUCCAGCAAUGCCGCGUGUGUGAAGAAGGCCUUCGGGUUGUAAAGCACUUUUGUCCGGAAAGAAAUGGCUCUGGUUAAUACCUGGGGUCGAUGACGGUACCGGAAGAAUAAGGACCGGCUAACUACGUGCCAGCCGCCGCAGUAA